UACGUAGGGGGCAAGCGUUGUCCGGAAUCAUUGGGCGUAAAGAGCGUGUAGGCGGCUCGGUAAGUCCGCUGUAAAAGUCCAGGGCUCAACCCUGGAAAGCCGGUGGAAACUGUCGAGCUAGAGUCCGGAAGAGGCGAGUGGAAUUCCUGGUGUAGCGGUGAAAUGCGCAGAUAUCAGGAGGAACACCAAUGGCGAAGGCAGCUCGCUGGGACGGUACUGACGCUGAGGAGCGAAAGCGUGGGGAGCAAACAGG
rnacentral:rRNA from 1 species